rnacentral:misc_RNA from 1 species
AAGUCUCCAGGUCUCUCGUCCGGAAA